rnacentral:rRNA from 1 species
UACGAAGGGGGCAAGCGUUGUUCGGAAUUACUGGGCGUAAAGCGCGCGUAGGCGGAUCGUUAAGUCGGGGGUGAAAUCCUGGAGCUCAACUCCAGAACUGCCUUCGAUACUGGCGAUCUUGAGUCCGGAAGAGGUGAGUGGAACUGCGAGUGUAGAGGUGAAAUUCGUAGAUAUUCGCAAGAACACCAAGUGGCGAAGGCGGCUCACUGGCCCGGUACUGACGCUGAGGUGCGAAAGCGUGGGGAGCAAACAGGGAUUAAGAAACC